CGUGAAAGCGUGUGACCCUUCGGGGAAUUUGCACAGGUGCUGCAUGGCCGUCGUCAGCUCGUGUCGUGAGAUGUUGGGUUAAGUCCCGCAACGAGCGCAACCCUUGUGACUAGUUGCCAGCACGUAAUGGUGGGAACUCUAGUCAGACUGCCCAGAUCAACUGGGAGGAAGGUGGGGACGACGUCAGGUCAGUAUGGCCCUUACGCCUUGGGCUGCACACGUACUACAAUGCCCAGCACAAUGAGAACCGAGACCGCGAGGUGGAGGAAAUCUGCAAAACUGGGCUCAGUUCGGAUUGGAGGCUGCAACUCGCCUCCAUGAAGUUGGAAUCGCUAGUAAUGCCGUAUCAUCUACGACGGCGUGAAUACGUUCCCGGGUCUUG
rnacentral:rRNA from 1 species